rnacentral:tRNA from 1 species
GGGUGGGUUAGAUCAGUGGUUAGAUUUUGAGCCUUGCGACCGGGAGAUCCCGGGUUCGAAUCUCGUCAGAGGCA